GCUUAACGCGAAGAACCUUACCAGGCCUUGACAUGCAGAGAACUUUCCAGAGAUGGAUUGGUGCCUUCGGGAACUCUGACACAGGUGCUGCAUGGCUGUCGUCAGCUCGUGUCGUGAGAUGUUGGGUUAAGUCCCGUAACGAGCGCAACCCUUGUCCUUAGUUACCAGCACGUUAUGGUGGGCACUCUAAGGAGACUGCCGGUGACAAACCGGAGGAAGGUGGGAUGGACGUCAAGUCAUCAUGGCCCUUAGGCCUGGGCUACACACGUGCUACAAUGGUCGGUACAGAGGUUGCCAAGCCGCGAGGUGGAGCUAAUCUCACAAAACCGAUCGUAGUCCGGAUCGCAGUCUGCAACGUCGACUGCGUGAAGUCGGAAUCGGCUAGUAAUCGCGAAUCAGAAUGUCGCGGUGAAUACGUU
rnacentral:rRNA from 1 species